rnacentral:rRNA from 1 species
GACGAACGCUGGCGGCGUGCCUAAUACAUGCAAGUCGAGCGAAUCUUUGGGAGCUUGCUCCCAAAAGUUAGCGGCGGACGGGUGAGUAACACGUGGGCAACCUGCCUAUAAGACUGGGAUAACUUCGGGAAACCAGAGCUAAUACCGGAUAAUUCUUUUCUACACAUGUAGGAAAGCUGAAAGACGGUUUCGGCUGUCACUUAUAGAUGGGCCCGCGGCGCAUUAGCUAGUUGGUGAGGUAACGGCUCACCAAGGCAACGAUGCGUAGCCGACCUGAGAGGGUGAUCGGCCACACUGGGACUGAGACACGGCCCAGACUCCUACGGGAGGCAGCAGUAGGGAAUCUUCCGCAAUGGACGAAAGUCUGACGGAGCAACGCCGCGUGAGUGAUGAAGGUUUUCGGAUCGUAAACCUCUGUUGUUAGGGAAGAACAAGUACUAGAGUAACUGCUAGUACCUUGACGGUACCUAACCAGAAAGCCACGGCUAACUACGUGCCAGCAGCCGCCGUAAGAC